UUGCUCCUCCUAGUCUGGUGUUUGUGAUCGUCCUACUCUUAAUUCUACAUUGAUUUUUUUUUUUAAAGAACUAUGAGAUUGAGCACUGUUCGUUAUCUUCACGUUUUAUCACCCCUACUAACGUGUUCGGAACAUAUUCUUUAUCGGUGUUAAGUAGAGCGUAAAAUCAAAGACUAUCGAAUGAAAUAUAAUCUCGCUGCUCCGAGACUCCAACGCGAGCUACCUGAGACCCGGUGAAUUUUCUACCGGAUAUGGAUGUGCUUUAAGGAAUUCCAGUGUUAAUUAUACUUUUUGGGGACUUUGAGUGAUUCACCACCCUUUGAACAAAUGUAUUUUGAGAUCCUCAAAGGAAUCCUAGAUUUGUCAAGAAGCCUUUUUUUAAUUGCUGCCCAUCAAAUAGUACUGUGUCUUGCAUGUGUAAAUUAGAUUCAUUUUGAGGAAAUAGGUGGUGUGCAGUGCACAUUCCUAAAUGAAUUCAUCAGUUUACAUUAAGGAUCUACCUUCAAAUCCUGUAAUCUGGGAUGCUCUAAAGUGCAUGUCACAGACUAAAGUUAUAAAAAUAACUUCCAAGAAUUUUUAAGAAAUUGUUAUAUACAUGUAUACUGAUAUUGAAUUAAAUUUUAUAAAAUUUCA